rnacentral:rRNA from 1 species
CCUACGGGAGGCAGCAGUCGAGAAUCAUUCACAAUGGGGGAAACCCUGAUGGUGCGACGCCGCGUGGGGGAAUGAAGGUCUUCGGAUUGUAAACCCCUUUCAUGUGGGAGCAAAUGAAAAAGAUAGUACCACAAGGGGAAGAGACGGCUAACUCUGUGCCAGCAGCCGCGGUAAUAAAGAGGUCGCAAGCGUUGUUCGGAAUCACUGGGCGUAAAGCGUGCGUAGGCUGUUGCGUAAGUCGGGUGUGAAAGGCGCGGGCUCAACCCGCGGACGGCACAUGAUACUGCGAGACUAGAGUAAGGGAGGGGGAAGCGGAAUGCGCGGUGUAGCAGUGAAAUGCGUAGAUAUCGAGAGGAACACUAGUGGCGAAGGCGGGUUGCUGGACAUUAACUGACGCUGAGGCACGAAGGCCAGGGGAGCGAAAGGGAUUAGAUACCCGGGUAGUC